GACGAACGCUGGCGGCGUGCUUAACACAUGCAAGUCGAACGGAAAGGCCCUGCUUUUGUGGGGUGCUCGAGUGGCGAACGGGUGAGUAACACGUGAGUAACCUGCCCUUGACUUUGGGAUAACUUCAGGAAACUGGGGCUAAUACCGGAUAGGAGCUCCUGCUGCAUGGUGGGGGUUGGAAAGUUUCGGCGGUUGGGGAUGGACUCGCGGCUUAUCAGCUUGUUUGUGGGGUAGUGGCUUACCAAGGCUUUGCCGGGUAGCCGGCCUGCGAGGGUGAGCGGCCACAUUGGGACUGAGAUACGGCCCAGACUCCUACGGGAGGCAGCAGUGGAGAAUAUUGCACAAUGGGCGGAAGCCUGAUGCAGCAACGCCGCGUGCGGGAUGACGGCCUUCGGGUUGUAAACCGCUUUCGCCUUUGACGAAGCGUGAGUGACGGUAAUGGGUAAAGAAGCACCGGCUAACUACGUG
rnacentral:rRNA from 1 species